GCUAAACGCGAAGAACCUUACCAGGGCUUGACAUCCUACUAAUGAAGCAGAGAUGCAUUAAGUGCCCUUCGGGGAAAGUAGAGACAGGUGGUGCAUGGUUGUCGUCAGCUCGUGUCGUGAGAUGUUGGGUUAAGUCCCGCAACGAGCGCAACCCCUAUUGUUAGUUGCUACGCGAGAGCACUCUAGCGAGACUGCCGUUGACAAAACGGAGGAAGGUGGGGACGACGUCAAAUCAUCAUGCCCCUUAUGUCCUGGGCCACACACGUACUACAAUGGCCGUCAACAGAGGGAAGCGAAGCCGCGAGGCGGAGCAAACCCCUAAAAACGGUCUCAGUUCGGAUCGCAGGCUGCAACCCGCCUGCGUGAAGCUGGAAUUGCUAGUAAUCGCGGAUCAUCAUGCCGCGGUGAAUACGUUCCCGGGUCUUGUACACACCG
rnacentral:rRNA from 1 species